rnacentral:rRNA from 1 species
UACGGGGGGGGCAAGCGUUGUUCGGAAUUACUGGGCGUAAAGAGCUCGUAGGUGGUUUGUCGCGUUGUUCGUGAAAACCUGAGGCUUAACCUUGGGCGUGCGGGCGAUACGGGCAGACUGGAGUACUGCAGGGGAGACUGGAAUUCCUGGUGUAGCGGUGGAAUGCGCAGAUAUCAGGAAGAACACCUAUGGCGAAGGCAGCUCUCUGGGACGGUACUGACGCUGAGACGCGAAAGCGUGGGGAGCGAACAGG